rnacentral:rRNA from 1 species
UAGGGAAUCUUCGGCAAUGGACGAAAGUCUGACCGAGCAACGCCGCGUGAGUGAAGAAGGUUUUCGGAUCGUAAAACUCUGUUGUUAGAGAAGAACAAGGACGUUAGUAACUGAACGUCCCCUGACGGUAUCUAACCAGAAAGCCACGGCUAACUACGUGCCAGCAGCCGCGGUAAUACGUAGGUGGCAAGCGUUGUCCGGAUUUAUUGGGCGUAAAGCGAGCGCAGGCGGUUUCUUAAGUCUGAUGUGAAAGCCCCCGGCUCAACCGGGGAGGGUCAUUGGAAACUGGGAGACUUGAGUGCAGAAGAGGGGAGUGGAAUUCCAUGUGUAGCGGUGAAAUGCGUAGAUAUAUGAAGGAACACCAGUGGCGAAGGCGGCUCUCUGGUCUGUAACUGACGCUGAGGCUCGAAAGCGUGGGGAGCAAACAGG